UACGUAGGUGGCAAGCGUUAUCCGGAAUUAUUGGGCGUAAAGGGUGCGUAGGUGGUUUAUUAAGUCUGAGGUGAAAGUGCGGGGCUCAACUCCGUAUUGCCUUAGAAACUGAUAGACUUGAGUGUAAGAGGGGGCAAUGGAAUUCCAUGUGUAGCGGUAAAAUGCGUAGAUAUAUGGAGGAACACCAGUGGCGAAGGCGGUUGCCUGGCUUACAACUGACACUGAUGCACGAAAGCGUGGGGAGC
rnacentral:rRNA from 1 species